AUGAAACUCCUAUGUUGGAAUAUUCGGGGCUUCAGCCAUCUUGGCCGAAGGCGUCAGCUCAUCGAGUAUUUGAGGCAGGAAGAUGUGGACAUUGUUGGCCUCAAAGAAACGACCCGCCAGGACUUCUCCAUCCAAGAACUCCAGAGCCUCUCCCGGCACCAGUUCGCCUGGCAGUGGUUGCCCUCGGUCGGGCAAUCUGGCGGCAUUUUGCUGGGGGUUAGGGAGGACUCCUUCUCGAUCGAAGACAUGGAUCGGGGGGAGUUGUUACUGAGUAUGGCUAUCACUGUCCGACGUGUGAACCUCAGUUGGGAGGUGAUCAUCAUCUAUGGCCCGGCUGAUCACGGGCUGUCAGCGGCCUUCCUGGCUGAACUUACAAAUAAGGUGGAGUGA
rnacentral:rRNA from 1 species